rnacentral:rRNA from 1 species
AGUUUGAUCCUGGCUCAGAUUGAACGCUGGCGGCAUGCCUUACACAUGCAAGUCGAACGGCAGCACGGGAGCAAUCCUGGUGGCGAGUGGCGAACGGGUGAGUAAUAUAUCGGAACGUGCCCAGUCGUGGGGGAUAACGUAGCGAAAGCUACGCUAAUACCGCAUACGAUCUACGGAUGAAAGCGGGGGAUCGCAAGACCUCGCGCGAUUGGAGCGGCCGAUAUCAGAUUAGCUAGUUGGUGGGGUAAAAGCUCACCAAGGCGACGAUCUGUAGCUGGUCUGAGAGGACGACCAGCCACACUGGAACUGAGACACGGUCCAGACUCCUACGGGAGGCAGCAGUGGGGAAUUUUGGACAAUGGGCGCAAGCCUGAUCCAGCCAUGCCGCGUGCAGGAUGACGGUCCUAUGGAUUGUAAACUGCUUUUGUACAGGAAGAAACCCUCGGACGUGUCCGAGAUUGACGGUACUGUAAGAAUAAGGAUCGGCUAACUCCGUGCCAGCAGCCGCGGUAAUACGGAGGAUCCAAGCGUUAUCCGGAAUCAUUGGGUUUAAAGGGUCCGUAGGCGGUUUAGUAAGUCAGUGGUGAAAGCCCAUCGCUCAACGGUGGAACGGCCAUUGAUACUGCUAGACUUGAAUUAUAAGGAAGUAACUAGAAUAUGUAGUGUAGCGGUGAAAUGCUUAGAUAUUACAUGGAAUACCAAUUGCGAAGGCAGGUUACUACUUAUGGAUUGACGCUGAUGGACGAAAGCGUGGGUAGCGAACAGGAUUAGAUACCCUGGUAGUCC